AUGGCCAAGCCUCACGCCGGCUUCAACACCCCGCGCCCCUCCUCCGUCCGCUCCGCCGCCGCCGCCGCCGCUCGCACCACCGCGGGUUCCUCGUCGACGGACACGACUCCCCUCGCCCCCACCUCCAUCCCCCGCGCCGACCUCUCCUCCUCCGGCGCCAAGGCCGGUGUCACCUCCGCCAUCCGCACCCCCGUGGGCUCCUCGUCAUCCACAGAUCUCUCCGGGCCCUUCACCCGCAGCUCCGUGGGCUCCUCGUCAUCCUCGGAUCUCUCCGCGCCCACCACCCGCGACAUCGCCUCCAUCGCCAAGGAGGUGGGCAAGCGCCUGGACUACGAGGACGACUCCCCCUUCCCCACCGCCGCCUCCCUGCAGCAGCCGAUGCUCGCGCCCGAGGGCCUUGCCGACCUCGCGCCGCUGCUCGAGCUUCCCGACCCCAACAACGCCUCCUCCAACACCGUCGUCUACGCUUCUGACGCUGACGCGAAACACGCGAUGACCGCCUCCGUCGACUCCACCGUCACCGAGGUUGCAGCGCCUGCCGACUCCACCGCCGACGCCGAUGGCCCCCUGCUCACGGAGAUGGAGGUCGCCCUCGACGAACUGAGCAGCGCCCGCGGCCUCAGCCCGCGCUCAAAGCGCCUCCUCCUCGCGCUCGUUGAGGUCGCCGACGCGGAGCUCAAUGCCAACCCGACUGCCGCUGUCCUCCACAUUCGCCGCGCUGCCUUCUGGAGGAAGGUGCGGGUCGGGAUCCUCGCCGCGACGGUCUUUUCUGUCGCCGUGAUCGACGCCGCGCUGGCCUUCGCGCUCUACGGAGCCCGCCGUGGCAACGGCCGGUACCACCACGUGCUGCCCCCUACCUGA
rnacentral:rRNA from 1 species